GACGAACGCUGGCGGCGUGCUUAACACAUGCAAGUCGAACGAUGAAGAAGAGAAACGCGAACUUCGGUUCAAAUUUCACUUCGGAUUAGUGGCAGACGGGUGAGUAACGCGUGAGCAACCUACCUCUUACAAAGGGAUAGCCUCGGGAAACCGUGAUUAAUACCAUAUGACACAUUCAUAAGGCAUCUUAAGAAUGUUAAAGCUACGGCGGUAAGAGAUGGGCUCGCGUCCCAUUAGCUAGUUGGUGAGGUAACGGCCCACCAAGUCGACGAUGGGUAACCGGCCUGAGAGGGUGAACGGUCACAUUGGAACUGAGACACGGUCCAAACUCCUACGGGAGGCAGCAGUGGGGAAUAUUGCACAAUGGAGGGAACUCUGAUGCAGCGACGCCGCGUGAGCGAUGAAGGAAUUCGUUUCGUAAAGCUCUGUUCUAUGGGAAGAAAAGGACUGUACCAUAGGAGAAAGCCCCGGCUAAAUACGUG
rnacentral:rRNA from 1 species